rnacentral:lncRNA from 1 species
GGCGGGACCCUCGUACGUGGAAGGUCAUGAGGGCGGAACCCUGGUACAUGAAAUUCGUUCUCUUAUUUAAGAGACAAAGAACGCCCUUGUUUUUUCCACCACGUGAUGGCGCAGACAGAAGACAACCAGCAUCUAUGAACCAGGAAGCCCCCACCAGGCACUGAAUCUGCCCCUGCGUGGAUCUUAGACUUGCAGACUCCAGAACUGUCCAAAUUUUGGUCUGGAGCCAGAGACAAUAUAGGAUGAAGUUUGAUUUGUUCCAAAACCCACAGAAAUCUCUAAAAUGGAAGAAUUUUCUUAGAACCAAAAGGCAUGGAAUUGAUGACAUGAAACUGCCUGAGCUUCUCAGCUGACCUGUGAUGGAGUGUUGUGCCCAAGUGGAAAGUUCUUCUUUCUUUCAGAGACAUAUCAUUCACCAUAAAAUACAACCAGAGACUUCAAAAUUACUCCAGGCUAGAAGGACACUCCAAUUAGGGGAAAAGUAACCUAUGGGCAAACCAUCUUCCGUAAGAGUUCAAGGACAAAAAACUACUGAUGUUGUAAUAACAUUGAAACUUAAUGUUUUGGGCAAUCCUUAAGUGAUUUAUUUGGAGUGUCCCAGUCAUUUUAGACCUCUUCACCUUACAAUGUAUUGUGUGAGAUUAUAUUUCCAUGCACCUAAUUUUAAAAUAAAUUUAUUUAGGUAGAUGUAGAGACAUAUUACUGUGAUAAAGCAGUUCAUACCAAAUAAAAUUUAGCUAA